rnacentral:rRNA from 1 species
UGGGGAAUAUUGGACAAUGGGCGCAAGCCUGAUCCAGCAAUGCCGCGUGUGUGAAGAAGGCCUUCGGGUUGUAAAGCACUUUAAGCAGGGAAGAAAAACUCGGUCUAAUACAUCGAGUCUUGACGGUACCUGAAGAAUAAGCACCGGCUAACUCUGUGCCAGCAGCCGCGGUAAUACAGAGGGUGCUAGCGUUAAUCGGAUUUACUGGGCGUAAAGCGUGUGUAGGUGGUUGUUCAAGUCAGUUGUGAAAUCCCUGGGCUUAACCUGGGAACUGCUUCUGAGACUGAACGACUAGAGUACGGUAGAGGGUGGUGGAAUUUCCGGUGUAGCGGUGAAAUGCGUAGAUAUCGGAAGGAACAUCAAUGGCGAAGGCAGCCACCUGGGCCUGUACUGACACUGAGACACGAAAGCGUGGGGAUCAAACAGGAUUAGAUACCCUGGUAGUCCACGCCGUAAACGAAUGAGAACUUGAACGUCGGUUUGCUUUGCAAGUCGGUGNCGUAGCUAAACGCGAUAAAGUUCUCCGCCUGGGGGAGUACGGCCGCAAA